rnacentral:rRNA from 1 species
AUUGAACGCUGGCGGCAGGCCUAACACAUGCAAGUCGAGCGAGCGGCGGACGGGUGAGUAAUGUCUGGGAAACUGCCUGAUGGAGGGGGAUAAAUACUGGAAACGGUAGCUAAUACCGCAUACCAUCAGAUGUGCCCAGAUGGGAUGAGCUAGUAGGUGGGGUAACGGCUCACCUAGGCGACGAUCCCUAGCUGGUAUGAGAGGAUGACCAGCAACAUUGGAACUGAGACAAGGUCCAGACUCCUACGUGAGGCAGCGGUGGGGAAUAGUCGAGAAGGGGCGCAAGCCUGAUGCAGCCAAGCCGCGUGUGUUAAGAAGGCCUUCGGGUUGUAAAGCACUUUAAGCGGGGGGGCGUUACCCGAAGAAGAAGCACCGGCUAACUCCGUGCCAGCCGCCGCGGUAAUAC